UACAGAUCAAGGACAAGUGCAAUAGAAGUGGGAAAGGGAGAGAAGGAGAAAAAGGAAACUCCCCUGAUCAUGGUGGCAGUUGCCAAUUUUGGACUUUCAGGGAGAUCUCUUCCACCACCGGAUUCAGCAAGGAAGUCUUGAGGAAGAAUUGCUUCAUCCUCCAAAUUUGAUCGAGCAGGGAGAUGUCCUCCACAGUUGGAUCUAAGAAGCAGUGGUUGUUGAUGAGCAGGUUCAGCUGGUGCCUAUUAAUCUUCAAACUAUCGACACCUUUGUCUUCCACCAUGGGUGUGUGUUUGUCAAAUUCAUAUGUACCUCCUGCAACACGGUUAGUGCAAUGUGGUUCCACAGAAAUAACAUGCAGAGGUAUAACACCCAAUAUCAAUGUAAGAGGCUGAAC
rnacentral:lncRNA from 1 species